CACUGGAUAGCUCAGAGGUAGAGCAGCAGAUCUUGAUCUGUUUGUCGCGGGUUCGACUCCCGCUCCAAGCA
rnacentral:tRNA from 1 species